CCUUUGACGUUAGCGGCGGACGGGUGAGUAACACGUGGGUAACCUACCUAUAAGACUGGGAUAACUUCGGGAAACCGGAGCUAAUACCGGAUAAUAUUUCGAACCGCAUGGUUCGAUAGUGAAAGAUGGUUUUGCUAUCACUUAUAGAUGGACCCGCGCCGUAUUAGCUAGUUGGUAAGGUAACGGCUUACCAAGGCGACGAUACGUAGCCGACCUGAGAGGGUGAUCGGCCACACUGGAACUGAGACACGGCCCAGACUCCUACGGGAGGCAGCAGUU
rnacentral:rRNA from 1 species